rnacentral:rRNA from 1 species
ACGGAGGGUGCAAGCGUUGUUCGGAAUUAUUGGGCGUAAAGGGCGCGUAGGCGGUUGUGAAAGUCAGAUGUGAAAUACUUCGGCUCAACUGAAGAACUGCAUCUGAAACUUCAUAACUCGAGUACAGGAGAGGGAAACGGAAUUCCCGGUAUAGAGGUGAAAUUCGUAGAUAUCGGGAGGAAGACCAGUAGCGAAGGCGGUUUCCUGGCUUUAUACUGACGCUGAGACACUAAAGCGAGGGGAUCAAACAG